rnacentral:tRNA from 1 species
GUAGAUAUGCUGGAAUAGGUAGACAGGUUCUGCUUAGGACAGAAUGGUUAAAGCCAAUGCAAGUUCAAGUCUUGUUGUCUAUA